rnacentral:rRNA from 1 species
UAGGUGGUGUCUUAAGUAGCUAGUGAAAUCUGGUGGCUCAACCAUUCAGACUGUUAGCUAAACUGGGAUACUCGAGAGCGUCAGGGGUAACUGGAAUUUCUAGUGUAGGGUUGAAAUCCGUAGAUAUUAGAAGGAACACCGAUAGCGUAGGCAGGUUACUGGGGCGUUUCUGACACUAAGGCACGAAAGCGUAGGGAGCAAACGGGAUUAGAUACCCCGGUAGUCUACGCCGUAAACGAUGGAUGCUAGCUGUGGGGGGUAUCGACCCCUUCCGUAGCGAAGCUAACGCGUUAAGCAUCCCACCUGUGUAGUACGAUCGCAAGAUUAAAAACAUAAAGGAAUUGACGGGGAACCCNCACANGCGGU